AAGAAGUUUUUUCAUGCUUUAAUUUAUUGUAAUACUGGAUUUUAUAUGCUAAUUUUAGUGAGAAUUAUUUGAUGUUUUAAAUAGACUGAUAAAGAAAGAAUAAAUUCGCAGUAAAAAGUUUUGAAUAAUUUAGUAAUUUAAGAUUCAACCAAGGUAUUUAGUAUUAACAAAAUUUGUGCCAGCAGUUGCGGUUACACAGAUAAUGCAACAAUAAAAGUUCAGUUAUAAUUAAUAAGCUUUAAUUUUAGAAUUUAUAUAUGAUUUUAUUGGGUGAAAUUUUUAAAAUUUUAUAAGAUUUAUAUUUAGUUUAUGAGGUUAGAAAAUUCAAUUAAGAGACUAGGAUUAGAUACCCUAUUAUUUUGAAUAAAUUUUUUGCUUGAUUAGUAGUAGUUAUGGCCUUGAAAAUUAAAGAAUCUGGCGGUAUUUUAGUCUAUUCAGAGGAACCUGUCCUAUAAUCGAUGAUCCACGUUUUAUUAUACUUAUCUUCUAUAAGUAUGCAUAUCGCCGUAGGUUGAAUAUUUUUAAAAAAAUUAAAUGUUCAAUAUUUAUUUAGAUAAAAGAAUUCAGGUCAAGAUGUAGCUGAUAGAUAAGUAGAGAUGGGUUACAAUAAUUUUAUUUAUUACGGAUUGAAAGUUGAAAAUUUUUGUGAAGGCGGAUUUGAAGGUAAUAUUAUAUAGAUUUAUAGUGUGAUUCUAGCUCUAAAAUAUGUACAUAUCGCCCGUCGCUUUCAUUACAAAGUGGAAUAAGUCGUAACAGAGUAGGUGUACUGGAAAGUGUACCUGGAAUGGU
rnacentral:ncRNA from 1 species